UUUUUGAUGACGAAUAAAUUUUUUUUUAACAAAAACAUCUAAAUUUUUUUACAAAAUUAGCGCAUAUAUACGCGCUAUUUUUUAUAUACAUAAUUUUAAACAACAUUAAAUGUUGUUUACCGCUUACCCAAUAAACAAUACACAAUCGGUAAAUAGUUAGUUGAUCUUAAUGGCUACAAUUAGGCAGCCGUGGUGCGAUAAUAAGAGUUCUGGCUCUGAAUUAAAAGUUCUAAAGUUCAAUGCCGGCUCUUGCCAGAUAAGCGACAUUUUAAGCAGCCGUGGCGCAGUGGUAGCGAACUUGACUCAGGGACGCAAGACCCGUUGUUCAAACCCCACCUCUGGGCAAGUUUUGCGACAUCGGUUGGGAAGGAGGCGUGAACUUCCUAUUAAAUGCUUUUCCGCGGUGCUCUGUGAUAAGACCGAAAGGACUUCUUGGGGCACCUAAAUCAACUUAAAAAAAAAAAUUCUCGAUGUAGUUAAGGACACUUUGAUUGAAAAUGAUACUGGAAAGGUACACUUUUUUAUAUCUAAACAUCAUUGCAGCUUUCUAGUCUUCGUUUUUGUUUAUGUGUAUUACAAUUGUGUUGCUAAUGAUAUCGCCAGUUUUUAUGAUUUUAUGUUGUUAAGUAAAUUAUGUUUCAGGCUAAAAUAGAGCUUUGAUUAAUACUUUUAUCCAGUUUAAAUGAAUAACAACUCUCAAGGUGUAUUAGCUGAAUUAUCUUUUCGUUUUGAUAGUCUGUUGUCAAUAUCAGAUUCUUAAAUUCUUAUGAGUCUGCAACACUUAAUUUCAGCGCAAUUCAAUUAACAAGUCAUGUCAUAGAAGACAGGAAAAUAGCAAAUCUGAGAGACUGUUUACCGUUUGACUCCUGUCCCAAUCUAACCUAGUGGGUUCAAAAAGACCGCGCUGGAAACAUGAACGGGUUAAAAGGAUCAGCCCUUUUUGAAUUAGUAGUCGAAGUCGUAACCAGCUAGAAAUUGUAACCAGCUCGUAUGAAAGGAUUUCUCGACGUGAAGUAGUUAAUUUUAUUCAACAACUCCAAGAAAUAGAGCUUGUUCAAGAAACAGAAAAGAAAGAGAAAGAUGAAAAAAUAUUCUGUUGAACAAUACUGUUGUUUUAUUUAUAA